AGGGGCCGGUGGAAGGGGGUUAUGGGCUUAUCACCGGAACACUGAAGAAAACCCGCAAAAAUAACGCCUGCAGACUAACACACUCACACACACAUACAUACAGAUACACACAGACACAUGUACACACGUACACACACACAAACACACACACACACACACACACACACACACAGUUGGACAUGCUUCUAGCCUGUGUGAGAGACCCCCAUCCAACCACUGUGUCAAUAGCGCUUGUAAGCUAACCGCUAUCUGAGGGGUAAGACGCUCUGACCUAGGCCUGAUAUUCAACCGACGGACCAACUGAAGUCAACGGCGCCCCCUCUCGCUGCCGGUGGUCGCUCUUGUACGGCAAAAGAUUACCGGGUGAGGGGAACACGUGAAUUAAUGGGAAUCUGUAUGGCCUUUGGCACUUUAGCUUUUACCUUUUUUUUCCCUUUCCUCGUUCUCUCUGGCCAACUCCUACCUGCUUCUCCUUGCUCUAACACUCGGUCCGUGACUCUUAUUGUGGAGGAGCUUAGGGAAGACGUGCAUCACUGGAAGAUACUGUUAGGGAGCAAGCAAAAUGCAGCUUCUUUUUUGAAUUUGCGUUUGAGUUUUAAGUAGUUUUGUUUUCACCCUGUAAUCUCACACUUGCAUAAUCGGGGUAGCAGGUGCUAUCUUUAGUUUUGACUCAUCUUGACCGUCUUAAAUUGAUCCGAAGAUAGAUAGUUAUCUUUCCAAUGUUUUUUUAACAGUUAGCGGUGCCAAUGGAUGUCUAUGAGGAAGGUAGCAACAUGGGUGACUCAUACUGAUAAGGCUGUUAUUGAUGUGCAAAAGCAAGGUGGACUUCUCCCAAAUGAAUGGAAAAGGCCUGUGUGCGUUCUGAAGAAAUGCAACGAUUAUCUCUGGCCCUGUCCAUACUUGAAUUUGCAACACUUGCACUAUAACCUCAUUAAGUUUGACCUACUUGAUCCAUUUGUGAGUUAGGGAUGGUGGUUAACCUCUUGCAUCUCUUUAAUUGUUGAUUAGGCUUUAGGUUUGUCUCUCUGAAUGCACCAACAACCAACUCAAUUUUUGAAGUUAAUGAUAAAGAUUGCUUAAAUGUAACUCUUGGCAUAUGUGGAGAAGGAUUCGUUUAAUUCAAUUUUAAAUAGUCAAUAUGUUUUUAGUUGCAACCUAACGUGUUUUUUUUAAUUAAGGGUUGCUGUGAUGGUUAUAAUUAUAUGUAUAUAAUAAUUUGGAUAUCGAUUAGAAAAACCUGGAAACAAACACUUUUCGGAAUUUCAUUUUGAGAGCCAUAUUUCUCAUCACUUAUAAAUGAAAGAGAUAUUAUGUAAAAGACAAGACAAAUUGUCUUUAGACUUUUACACAAGUCUAUAUAUCCAAUAUCACAAGAAAAAUUGUGUUAAUGAAAGCCAUUCGUUUAAUCUAGGAUUUUGAAAAGAAGAAUAGGCUUUCCCUAAGAAUAUCUGGUGGAAACUCUUAAAUGUCUAUUAUUAAAUUAUGUGGUAUGCAACAAUAUUAGUUCUAACCACAAAUUCUUAAAAGCCUGUCGCAAGCUGAAUUACAUUGCUUGUAUUACAAUACACAUUAUUCAAUGUUUACAAUUAUCACAUUGGUUUUAAUGUGUAGUUCCGUCUUUGAGUUAGUAACUCUGAAUGUGGUCCCACACCAGCAAAUACAACCUCAGCCACAGUGCAUUUCAAAACGAUGCACCGUGGUGUAAAAAUAUACUAUUCUAUUUUUCUAAAUAUGUACACUAAAGUGUAUUUGUGUUUUUAUUUUAAUGACUUCUAACACGCCUCAAAAUAGCCUACAAAUACUAGGGUUGUUACGUCCAAAAUAAUCUUUAGGUUAUGUUAUGCUGUACAUUCGAAAAUAACUAACUAUUACAAUUCUGUUUAAUUUAAUCUUUUCUCAUACUAAUUUAGAAUUAAAAAAAAAUGUCAUGUGUUACCAAGUUGUUUGUUGGUGCCGCAAAAGACAUCUUAUAGCGUAUCACUGUAGCAAACAGCCAUCUAUUUCAUUUCAAAACCACUCUCCGUUAUCAACACAUCCCACAGAUUUAUACUGUAAAAGCAGCAGCAUUAAUGAAUAAUUUAUUUUUUAAAUCUUUGCUAAUUUCCCGAAAACACGUCACAUGCGGGUCCACAGAGGUUCGCCAGGGCUAUACGAUGUAGGAUAAACCACCAUCUGUUCAGCAGUUUGCCGUCUAAAUAAACUAGUAUAGUGAUCUUUAAUUUAUCUCUGGUCCUUCGAUUGCAGACUGGAUUAAACCAUGUUUUUUUUUUAAUUGCUGUAUGAUUUCCAUACAUGUUCUAUAUGUUUUUCUGAUUUCCGUGUAUUUACCCGCGCAUUUAGCAGAAACUAUAUCAGAAUCAUUCAUGCAUUAGGGGGGAAAGUAAAUGUUUAGGUGGUGGUGUUCUACUUUUUUUCAUGGGUUUAAAAAGAAAGAAAGUUGAAAAGACGAUUAUCCACAAGACCGCUCUCUUGGAAUUCUUCUAAAUCCCAUAUUGUUUGGCUGACAAAUAGACCCCGCGUUCUAAAUCUGUCAUAGCUAACAUUUCCAUCACUUUCAUUGUCACGCAGAAACCAAAUCUAUGCAACACAAAGUGUCUGUCCCUCUCAAUGUAGGUCAGCACAGUGUGUGUAAGCACCGAUACAAAACCCACAAUGGAGACUCUUGUCAAAUGUUGUAUGCCAACUAAAUGUGAAACCUACAGGGUGGGUGUCAUUUAUGUGAUGCCCUGUGAUUGAGGUUGAUUUUUGGCAGCCUUAAAAUCGUACGCGUCCUCAAACAAACUAAUGUUUACGCUCGUGACGUGGACCACCUCUCAACAAGUCUUACUGCAAGCAAGUGCCGCAUUGUACAGCUUUCCGUUUCGAUUUUUUUAUUUGUUGCGUAUGUUUUAUUUGGGUAGGGAAUGAUGGUGUCUAUCUUGGCUCUUUGCUAGGUGCAUUGCAGUCUGUGAAUGGAAAAGGAGUGACUGCUCUGCUUGGGUUGAAUGCUAUGUUUUAACUGCAGUUUAUUUAAUGUGAGCCCAUCUUUUCAGGAUGGGUGAUUCAGUUCAACAGUUGUCCGUUCAACAAUUGUGCGAAAGCAUCAAAAUCAUUAACGUUAUGUUUUUUUCUCAAUCAAAGUUGAUCAGCAAUGAAUGCAUUUUGUAUAUAAGCUGCUGUCACUAAUCACAUUCCAAAUCUUCCCAUUCAAGAAAGAAUUAACUUUUGCUUAUUAAAAAUGUUAAACCACUGUGAGCAAUUUGAAGAGCUUUCAUAGUGUUUCUUUCUUAUAAGAUUUCAGAAAAUUUAAGAUCUGGGCAAUAUUUAUGUCUCACGGCUUUCUGUCUUGUUCUUGGGCUGUACCCCAGUCUAUUGCUGUAGCAUCUGCCGAGCAAUGCCUGCAUGACUAACAUUACGCCUCUCAACCUCCAAACCUCGCAAGAAUUUGCACUGUCUAAAAUAAAUCGUACAAAGGUGUGACAAACUUUGUAGGAUUUUCUGACUAAAGACGGGCUAUAAGAAUACAUUUUGAUGGCAACAUAUUUAAGAUGUGAAUUAAGAGGACACUUGAAUGAUCCUGCAGUUAAAGCUAGGGUAGGCAAUUUGGAGGAUCAGCCAGAGUAAAAUAGUUUUUGAAAGUAUCCAACUGAAAAAAGCCCACCCCUCCCUUCAGGCCUACUUCCAAAGCCACACCCCAAAACAGGCUACCAGCUCGCUAGCUCUUGGAAAUAGCUCUGCCUCGCCUUUUGGAAGGAUCCAUCAUCCAAUCAUUCCUUUCGGCCAAAUUAAAUAAUUGGCCAGACUUAUUACAGACCUAAACAACCACAAAUAUUGGAUUAUUUUCUGUUAUUUAUUGAAUUUCUUUCGCGAUGUUUAGAGGAUUUCAAUCAAUUUAAUAAUGCUUCUAAACUAAAUUUCCCCCUAGCGUUAAAAGUGAUAGAUAAAAAAAAAACAUAGCUUUUAAAAUGGAAAAUAAAUAGCAUUGUUUGGCUCUUCUGCAUUUAGCAUGUUUAUUUAUCAGACGUAGCACAAAGAUGUACUCUUGCUGAAUCUAGCCUUAAUAACUUAAUAAGGAUCUGGAUUUAAAGACUAGUAAGCAGUCUAAUAUAAAUCCUAGUUUUCCCACUAAAUCAGGGGUCUCAAACUAAACUUACUUGGGGGCCACUGGAGGUAGAGUCUGGGUCAGGCUGGGCCAGAUCCAGUAUUCCACAAAAAAAAGUAGCACAACUUGGCUAUGUAAUCGCUGACAACCGGGGACUCAGGACACGCAACUCAAAAUUGGGACUGUCCCGGCAAAACCGGGACAUCUGGUCACCCUAUCACAAGUGAUAAAAAAGUGUGGCAAGCGACAAAAAAUGUGCGUUUGACAACAACGCACGGGCCGCACUAACACUAAACUUUGUCAAGUAGGGGGCCACAAAAUAUCAUCCCGCGGGCCUCAAUUGGCCCCCGGGCCGCGAGUUUGAGACCCCUGUACUAAAUAAACAAACUGAUUUAAACUAAAGCCAUUUACAGUAGCCGAGAGGUUAAAUACUGUGAAAUAACUCAUCCGAUGUUUUCUCUUUUAUAAAAAUAAGCUGCUUGACUGUUUGGCUUUGGGAUAUGUAAAUAAAAAUGUUCUGAAUACUGUACUGAUUGCACUCCCACGGUAACUAGUCGAUUUCAUCCACUUUUAAUGCAUUUGUUUAAUGUCUUUAAACUUUCAGCUCUGCCUAAUUUUUUUUUUUAACAAUAUACU
ensembl:lncRNA